AUUGAACGCUGGCGGCAGGCCUAACACAUGCAAGUCGAACGAGUGGCGGACGGGUGAGUAAUGUCUGGGGAACUGCCCGAUGGAGGGGGAUAACUACUGGAAACGGUGGCUAAUACCGCAUACCAUCGGAUGUACCCAUAUGGGAUUAGCUAGUAGGUAGGGUAACGGCUCACCUAGGCGACGAUCCCUAGCUGGUCUGAGAGGAUGAUCAGCCACACUGGAACUGAGACACGGCCCAGACUCCUACGGGAGGCAGCAGUGGGGAAUAUUGCACAAGGGGCGCAAGCCUGAUGCAGCCAUGCCGCGUGUAUGAAGAAGGCCUUCGGGUUGUAAAGUACUUUCAGCCAGGAGGCGUUACCCGCAGAAGAAGCACCGGCUAACUCCGUGCCAGCAGCCGCGGUAAUUC
rnacentral:rRNA from 1 species